rnacentral:rRNA from 1 species
AUGGUCGAGGUUGAAGAUCGCGUCCUUUCUUCUGCGGUGCUGACGCGUGUCCUCAUCCACGUCUACCUUCGCGACCCUGGCGCCAACCUUGACGAGCUGCUGAAGCCCGUGGACGCCGAGCACUCUGCCGCUGCUGCUGAAGUCGUGAAGGGCCAAGCGGAAGCCCUGCUGGCGAAGUUCCGCGCCUUUGCCACUAUGCCCAGGGCAGGUGCUGCUGAUUCCUCGGCCUCGGGAGGUGGAGCUGACGGAGGCAACACCACCAUGGAGGCAGGGCUCCUGGCGAAUGACGACGUUGCCCAAGGGUGA